UGCAGUCGACGGCAGCACGGGAGCAAUCCUGGUGGCGAGUGGCGAACGGGUGAGUAAUAUAUCGGAACGUGCCCAGUCGUGGGGGAUAACGCAGCGAAAGCUGUGCUAAUACCGCAUACGAUCUAUGGAUGAAAGCGGGGGAUCGCAAGACCUCGCGCGAUUGGAGCGGCCGAUAUCAGAUUAGGUUGUUGGUGGGGUAAAGGCUCACCAAGCCGACGAUCUGUAGCUGGUCUGAGAGGACGACCAGCCACACUGGAACUGAGACACGGUCCAGACUCCUACGGGAGGCAGCAGUGGGGAAUUUUGGACAAUGGGCGCAAGCCUGAUCCAGCAAUGCCGCGUGCAGGAUGAAGGCCUUCGGGUUGUAAACUGCUUUUGUACGGAACGAAACGGUCUGCUCUAAUACAGUGGGCU
rnacentral:rRNA from 1 species